AGCAAAGAAAACAGGAUGGGACACAGCUGGUCUCAUCUUCCCUUUCCCUCUAAUAAACCCGAGCCACCCACCAGAAACCCACGGCACCAUCGCUUUCCCAUAACCCAGUUCCAGACACUCAACUGCAACUUAAACACGAGCUUAUCAGGUGCACAUGCGAAUGCACGUGGGAAGCUGUGAUGAUGGUCUUACCACAUGGUUACUAGCAGACCAUCUGAAAGACUCCUGCAGUCUCCUCACCACGGCUCAUGGGAGCACUGUUGACUACUGCGGCAACCUGACAUUCACAUUCGUUCACUAGACUUGACCUCACAUGCAUUCCUAGCAUUUUAAAAAGAUUUAUGUAUUUUAUGUACGUGGUUUUGCCUGUACAGAUGUAAAUGCACCACAAGCAUGCAGUGCCCAGUCAGAAGAGGGCCAGGUGUUGUUCUUCUAAGACAGUUUUUUACUGGCCUGGGUUUACAGCAAGCCUUAGAGAGCCUUUGGGUCCCCACCUCCCGCCUCCUCUGUGCUGAGAUCACAGGCUUUUCUAUGUGGAUUCUGAGGAACAAACUCAGGUCCUCGUAUCUAUGUGCGGCUUAGCCUACAGAGUGAGCUCCAGGGCAGAGAGACCUUGUCUCAAAAAAAGCCCCUGAGAAGCCAGGCCCAGUGGUGCACAUCUUUAAUCCCAGCACAUGUAAGGCUGAGACAGGCGGAUCUCUGGGAGACAGAGACCUGGUUGGUCUACAGAGUGGGUUCUAGGACAGCCAGAAAUACAUUGCGAGACCCCGUCUUAAAGCAAGAGGGCGACCAGCUCCCAGGACCUCGCUUGGGGCUGUCCUCUGGCCAUGUACACAGUCUCGAGGGCGCACACCCACAACAGUCUCUGAAACUAGGAAGGAAACUUAAUUUUAGGCAGUCAAACAUGAGAUUAGAAAAAUCAAUUAACUGUCAUUUUUAAUUUAAAACCAAACCAGAAGGGCCUGUAUGAAAAGCGGGGCUCAGAUUUCCUGGUAGCUGGGAGAGCCAGGGAUGCACAAGCUGGUGCUGAAUACAUUAGCGCGCCCGGCAGAUGUCGUGGGUUACCACGCCACGGAGACACCUCAGGGAGCAGCAAUCCAUAUGUCACUGAGAAAGCUCACCAGAGCUGUCCCCAGAGAUUCCUGCCAGACCCCUGGGUGAACCGAGCAGCUGGCUCACAGUUGGUAAGUCUGCCUAUAACAAUGGAAGAGAUCACCAUAGGAGGGAACACAAGCCCCUGAGCCGGCCCAUAGGCCAUGGGGCAGUCAACGCAGGGUGUAAGAGAAACUGUAAAUACCAAACAAUAAAAAUCCAAAAAAAAAAAGGUGACUGCUAGUCUCACGCACACACACAAAAACAACUCACUUUUAAUUCCAGAGCCGCAUGAUGGGAGAUACUUCCUAAUGGACUUCUCCUCAGUGGCAAGGCCUGUCAGUUCCAGUACAAAUCACUACAAUUGGGCUUAAGUACCACAAACAUACAUGUGUUCCCAUAUACACACAGUCACUGUGUCCUCUCUAAAUAGGACAUGAUUUUUUUCCUAUGAAGUAGAUGGUUUCAAAAUGUACACGUACUGUAUGAGAUCCAGAGACCUUUCGUGAAUACAGAUUAUGAGCAGAAAAUUAACUGAAUCUACCAUUGGUCUCACAAGUGUAUACAAUCCUGCAAAAUUACUGAAAACAAGGGGAUGUGCUCUCAGAACACAGUCAGGUUUCCAGACACUUAGCUCUGAGAUUAAACAACCAUGUAGGGCUACCUAAGGCAAGUCACACAGCACCCCAGAAGGCACCAAGGGUUCAUUUGGCAAAAGAGCUUGGAGUCUAUGAGAGUCUAGCGCCACCAAAGCUAAGUGGCAGCAUUGGAUCUGCCUUUAGUUUCUCUAGGUAGGAAGAAGCCCAGGGUGUCAGCCAGUAGAGAUGAAGGUAGCUGGAGAGAUGGCUCAACGGCUAAGAGCACUUGCUGCUCUCUCAGCGAGCUUGAGUUCAGUUCCCAGUACCCAGUUGUGAGCUGGACGGCUCACAACUGCCUCUAGCUCUAGUUCUAGGGUACUGGUUCUCAACUGUCCUCACGCUAGGACCAUUGAGUACCAUCCUCAUGUUGUGGGGACCCCAACCAUAAAACUAUUUUGUUGCUACUUCAUAAUUAUAAUUUUGUUGUUGUUAUGAAUUAUAAUAUAAAUAUCUGAUAUGCAGGAUAUCUGUUAUGCAACCCCAAAGGGGUCACAAGUUGAGAAUUGCUGUUCCAACACUGUCCUGGCCUUUGUGGGUACUGCACGCAUGCACACACAGAGAGAGAGAGAGAGAGAGAGAGAGAGAGAGAGAGAGAGGGGAAACCUAACACCCUCCCUAUCUGAGGACCAGGGAGAGCAGGACUUUCUUUGUCAGGGUCUUAGAGCUAACAGGUAGCCUCCUGACUUCUAAUCAGAUCUACCUCCUCUGGGCCAGAGCAGUUUUGAAAUCGUUCCUUUUCUAAAGCUUCUUUGAGGAACUGCUACUGCAGAAUCUAGACCUAGACUGAUGUCUCGCCGGGAGGAGAAAAAUUGGUCAACUUUGGCUAUGACAGACACACUCUAUUCCUGCUUCUGAGUAGUGACAGGUAGCUCAGGCCAUAGAUCAAACAGAGCCACUGGCUGUUUGGUGAUCGCCAACACAUAGUAAUGCUCUCUGACGUUCUUUUUAUUUGAAGACUUUUAAAAUCUCAUGUGUAUGAGUGCCAUGCAGACAUGCCUGCACAUAUAUGUGGGUACCAUGUGUGUGCCUGGUGCCAAGGACCCCAGAAAAUGGUGCCAUCAGAUUCCUGACACUGAGCAUAAGCCUUCAUGUGGGUUCUGGGGGCAGAAUUGAGCUGUCUGCCAGGGCAGCCCCUGCUCUGAACUGCUGAGCUCCUCUCUAGACCCCCCACCCCGCUCCCCGGCAGUUCACACUUCUACUGCACACCUGUCAGCCCAGUGAGUGUGACAAAAUCCCAUGGUGACAACAGACACAGCUCUUCUCAGUCCUGACUCUACUUACUACAAAUCCAUCUUAACAGUGUGUGUGGACCCCACUGUAUGUGAGCGUGAGGUAUGACCAGUGUGGGUGAACUCAGUGUAUGUGAGCGUGAGGUAUGACCACUGUGGGUGAGCCCAGUGUAUGUGAGCAUGAGGUAUGACCACUGUGGGUGAGCCCAGUGUAUGUGAGCAUGAGGUAUGACCACUGUGGGUGAGCCCAGUGUAUGUGAGCGUGAGUUAUUACCAGUGUGGGUGAGCCCAGUGUAUGUGGAAUGUGAGGUAUGACCAGUGUGGGUGAGCCCAGUGUAUGUGAGCAUGAGGUAUGACCACUGUGGGUGAGCCCAGUGUAUGUGAGCAUGAGGUAUGACCACUGUGGGUGAGCCCAGUGUAUGUGAGCGUGAGUUAUUACCAGUGUGGGUGAGCCCAGUGUACGUGGAAUGUGAGGUAUGACCAGUGUGGGUGAGCCCAGUGUAUGUGAGCAUGGAGGUAUGACCACUGUAGGUGAGCCCAGUGUAUGUGGAAUGUGAGGUAUUAUAUACUCAGUAGGGGACCACGGAGGAACCAGCAGUAAACAGGAUGUGAAGCCAACUGAGAGUGGAUGAAGGUAUAGAGAGGUAUGGAUGCCAGGCAGGGGAAAGUGAUAAGACUCUUCCUAGGGGAACCCCACUUCCAGAGCCUUUAAAGACAAGCGGGCUGGGGAGCUGAGGUGGACAUUUCAGUCAGGAGCAGCAGCCAGUUGUGCCAAAGCUGAGGAGAGGUACGGUUUCCUUGGGAGGGGAAAAUGGUCCGUACAAAUGCUGCCACCUCCCUUGCCUGCUCUAACAUCCUUGCUUUCUCACUGUUCUGCUCGGAGUGCUGGAUCCACGGACCAUGUAACUCCACUCUCCUCAACAUCCAGGUCUCUGCUUCAAUGCCCAGAGGCCUCUCCUGGCUAAAGUUUCCUGUCUUCUCAGAUGUAAGGAUUUAAGAAUGUAUCUUCCCUGGCUGCUUCUUGCUAUGCCCAGGACUUCAGGCAGGCAACGCCGUCAUAAAAAUGUACUGAGUAAAUACCAUUGCCAGUGCACGGACUCUGAGUCACACUGUGAAUUGCAAGGCAGGGCUCUGCUACUUAUUAACUCAUGUGAGCUCAGAUAAUUCCCUUGACCCUUCAGUUCCUUCCUUAAUGGGAUGGGGUAAGAGGGCAUGAUCUCACGGGUCCAUUCACACAGCACUCAGAACUCCACAUGUUGAUAUGAUAUAGCUCUGAUGAUGAACCAGACACCAUUUAAAUGCUUAGAAGAGGCGCGGUUUGGGAUUUGAAUAUUUGCUUGGCAGAGUAAGCUGAUGAAAAGAAGGAACAGUUUGUUCCUCCCGCAGCUGAUGGGCACAUUUCACUCUGCUCCCUUCAGUUUCUUUCCCACAGAAUACAAGAAGUGCACAUCCUGCUGAGACAGAACUGGCACUCAGGUCAAAUGCCAUCCUUAAGAUCUGCUGACCUUCCCAGCUUGCCUCCUUUGAGAGGAGUGGCCUGACCAGAAAGCGCCAACACUUGUAGUGGAACAGAGGUCUUGAUAAGAGCAAAUGUAACACAAAUGAUGGUUGUGAAGGCCACUCUACCUUUCUGGGAGCGAUUUAACAGUGCUGCACCAUGACGUGGCAACAGGAAGUAGGUGAAAGGUGGGAGGAAAGCGAGGUGAGCACCAGCACCAGCACCACUGCAUACAGCCCACAAGUCCGGGCCUCUGGAAACCCAUGUUACAAUUUUAGCUUUAUGUGUCUGUUCAUUUUCUCUGGUCCCAGAGCUUAGGUGACAACGUGAAAUCAAGAAGAGAGAAGACAUAGCUGGGAGAACCUACUGUCAUCUCCUGACCACUAGAGAGACGUGUUCAGGAUCAAGGUGGCCACCACUCUAGGAACAGAGUCCCAGUGAAGGACACUGACCAAUGGAAGCCACGGAAUGUGCUGCCCAUUGCAGGCCAGAGGGGACAGAGCAAACAAGCUUAGCAAGGAAAAGAAAGUACGUGUAGACUCCUGAAACUGGGAAGGAGGAUUCUGGGAGUUCAGGAAGUGACACGAUUCCCAAGCCCCUCCCCUUAAGGUUUAUAUUAACAAGCAGCAACAAUUGGUAGAAUGGAGCAGACUCCUUGGUGGAGCUUCCAGCCGGAGAGGGCCCCAGCGAGGUGCCUCUUAUCACUCACCGCCCAUUCUGGGAUAGGCUUUCCAGUGAUUAAGCCCCGCGCCAUCUCUAAGGAACCCCAGCAAAUCACUGACUCAUGAGCUUCACCAGGUGGAGCCGCGGCUUUGGUUUCCCAUUGGUGCCCUAUCUGGGGCGGAUGGGCAUUUGUUCACAGCCCCUCACUACACUCAGUGAGGUCAGCCCAGCAACAGAUGCCCGGGGAGUCCCACGUGCAAAGCUUGGGGUGUCCUGCUGUACCAUGAGGGCCCACACCAGGUCUCAAUCCACACUGAAAGGGCAAUGAAAAGCAGGUGCUGGGUGUCUGUUCUAUACCGCAGGCCAAUCACAAUCCUUCCUUCAUGACCUCAGAGGGUGGACUGCGCUGGUGGUCAGCACUUAAGUGCUUGCCAAGAAAGCAUGAGGGCCAGAGUUCACAUCUCCAGAGUCAAGGUGGGUGUGCAGCCUGACCUCCACUCCAGCUUUGGAAGGUGGAGAUGGAGCAGAGCAUGCUGGGUAGCAAAACUAGCUUUACCAGUGGGGUCUGAGUUUGACUGACAGCCUACCUCAAUGAAUAUGGUGGGAGAGCAAUCAAGAAUACAAUGGAAGACUGAUCAAGGAUGAUUACUGAUAUCAACCUUGGGCCUCUACAUGUAUGCAUAUACAUGUGCAUGCAUACAUAUAUGCAUGUACUGCCCAUGUGUACACACAUACAGAAAAACAUACAUUCACACAUGCUGUGGGUCAAUGGUCUUCUAUUGUUUUAAUAAAAUGCUGAUUGGCCAGUAGCCAGGCAGGAAGUAUAGGGACAACCAGACAGGAAGUAGAGGCGGGUCAAUGAGAACAGGAGAAUUCUGGGAAGGAGGAAGCCCAUUCCUCUGUAGUCCUGACCUGAACACAGAGGAAGCAAGAUGUGACUGCCCCGCUGAAUAAAGUACUGAGCCACAUGGCUAACACAGAUAAGAAUAAUGGGCUAUGUAAGAGUUAAUAAGAAGCCUGAGCUAAUGGGCCAAUCAGUUUAUAUCUAAUUAGACCUCCACGUGAUUUCUUUGGGACUUAAUAAUUGUGGGAACUGGGCAGGACAGAAACCAGGACAACAGGGGGAGACAAGAACAGGAGAAUUCUGGUAAGAGGAAAAAGUCAGACUAUAGUUGUCACCCAGAUGCAGAGGAAGCAAGAUGAGACUGCCUCACUGAUAAAGGUACCAAGCCACGUGGCUAAUACAGACUAGAAUUAUGGGCUAAUAUAAAUUAUAAGAGUUAAUAAUCAGCCUAAGCUAAUAGGCCAACCAGUUUAUGAUUAAUGUAGACCUCUGUGUAUUUCUUUGAGAUUGAAUGGCUGCGGGACCACGCAGGACAGAAACCUCUGUCAACACACACAUGAAAGCUGGAAAGAAAUAAACCACACAAUUUCCGAUGGUGACUCUCAUGAGAAUCUCUAGGGCCGGAAGUAAAUCCUGAAAUGAACCAAAGCUGUGCACGCUGACAUGACAUACACACAUGGCGGUGGACAGCUGGGGGAGAGAAGAGCCCCACUUUCCAAGGUUCCCAAGGGCAGAAGAGCAUUCCCAGGAGUGACUGCCGACUUUUCAAGGCGAGUAUGACCUCCACACAGGGUUGGCUGUAGUCAGGC